UCCCUCUUAGCUCAGUUGGUAGAGCGCGUCACUAGUAUUCCACGUCGUUUGGGUUUUAUGACGAGGUCAGUCGUUCAAGUCGGCUAGAGGGAA